CCUACGGGUGGCUGCAGUGGGGAAUAUUGGACAAUGGGGGCAACCCUGAUCCAGCCAUGCCGCGUGUGUGAAGAAGGCCCUCGGGUUGUAAAGCACUUUCAGUGAGGAAGAACGCCUGGUGGUUAAUACCCAUCAGGAAAGACAUCACUCACAGAAGAAGCACCGGCUAACUCCGUGCCAGCAGCCGCGGUAAUACGGAGGGUGCGAGCGUUAAUCGGAAUUACUGGGCGUAAAGCGCGCGUAGGUGGCUUGAUAAGCCGGUUGUGAAAGCCCCGGGCUCAACCUGGGAACGGCAUCCGGAACUGUCAAGCUAGAGUGCAGGAGAGGAAGGUAGAAUUCCCGGUGUAGCGGUGAAAUGCGUAGAGAUCGGGAGGAAUACCAGUGGCGAAGGCGGCCUUCUGGACUGACACUGACACUGAGGUGCGAAAGCGUGGGUAGCAAACAGGAUUUGAUACCCCGGUAGUC
rnacentral:rRNA from 1 species